UACGUAGGGUGCGAGCGUUGUCCGGAAUUAUUGGGCGUAAAGGGCUCGUAGGCGGUUUGUCGCGUCGGGAGUGAAAUCCACUGGCUUAACUGGUGGCUUGCUUUCGAUACGGGCAGACUGGAGGUAUGCAGGGGAGAACGGAAUUCCUGGUGUAGCGGUGAAAUGCGCAGAUAUCAGGAGGAACACCCGUAGCGAAGGCGGCACUCUGGGCCGAUACUGACACUGAGGAGCGAAAGCGUGGGGAGCGAACAGG
rnacentral:rRNA from 1 species